rnacentral:lncRNA from 1 species
GGACUUUUGGAAUAGCAUUUGAAAUGUAAAUGAAGAAAAUACCUAAUUUAAAAAAAAGAUUUCAAAAUGAACACAGAAAAAAAAUUAGAACUUUGGUGGUGGGGAAGCCAGGUGAUAGGGUGAUUAAAAAAAAAAAGAUGGAUCACGUAUGUUAAAUUCUGUUGAUAAUUAGGAUGAAGUUUGAAAACGACCUUUGGAUUUAGCAAUGUAGAAGCUACUGGUGACUUUGGCCUGGAGCACAGGGUCCAGCUGCCUCAGCCUCCUUAGUGUGUGCACCACCACACCCUAUCUAAAGAAUGUUUUCACUAGAGUGGUAAAGACAGACGGUAUAAGGCAGAACAUAAGAAGGAGCAGUGAGUACUGAGAACUCAGGAAUGUUGUUUUAAAGGGAAGCAAAGUUGUUUAGCAGUAACUGAAAGUAUAUCAGGUAAACCAAGUUAGUUUUUUCCCUUUUAUUCUCUUCUACAUUUUUUUUUAAGUUGGCUGGUUUUCCAUAUGGGAAAAAAAUUACAACAGUUCUGUGCACCUACAGGAAUGUUAGAAACUUUCGUUUUGUUUUGAAACAGUUUCUCUGUGUAGCUCUGGAUGUCCUGGGACUUGCUCUAUAUACCAGGCUGGCCUUGAACUCUUGAGAUCUGUCUGACUCCGUCUCCUGAGUGUUGGCAAUAAUGGCAUGUGCCACCACCAUGCCUGGUGUGGGAGAAAUUAAUGAUGUGGUAAAGAGAAGUACUGAGGAGAUGGGGGGACUCACUUCAGCCACAGGAUGGGAUAAGACAGGAUGAGAGAGCCCCACAGUAGCAGGAUUAAGUAGGGACAGGCAAGUGUGCCUGUGUAGAUAAAAUGGUGGGAGCUGUGACGGUUCCCUGUUGUCUAUUUUUUUCAUGCCUAGAGAAAGCUGUGCCAUCAAAUAAUAGUGAGGAGGAAACACAUACAGAAAGUAUGAACAGCUAUCCAAGGACUAUUCAUUCUCUUACUUUAAUUUUUAUGUGUAUGGGUGGGUGUUUAGCCUGUAUGUAUGUCUGUGCACCAUGUGCACGCAGUGCCUGAGCCUGCAGAGGGCAUCAGAUUACUAGUCCUGGAGUUACAGAUGAUUAUGAGCUGCCAUGUGGGUACUGCAAAUUGAACCCAGGCCCUCUGGAAGAUCAGCCAAUGCUUUUAAUCAUGGAGGCCUCUCUCCAGACACCAAUAUUCAUUCUUAUUCAGUCUCUUUUUUCCGACUGAAAUGCCUACCUUCUACCCUGCUUACUUAUCCAUCCCCUCCCUCCCUCCUUCCCUGCCACACACUCAUCAGUACUGGGAUCAAACUCCCAGCCUUACACAUGCUAAACAAACACUCUGAGAGACAUUCCUCAGCCACACACUACUUUAAAUCCUGGGUCCAAACCUAAUCGUUUUCUUUACCCACAAACUAUUCCUGCUCCAAAAAUCAAAAUCCAUCUCUUUAGGGUCAGUUUUUAUCUUUAAGCCUCUUCUUCCUUAAAGUUCUCUGCUAAUCUAGGAAGGUGAUUCAAGUUUACCCUGCAAAUUUUGGUUCCCCAUUGUCUUAAUUAGGAUUUCUAUUGCUGUGAUAAUGCACCAUGACCAAAAGCAAGUUGGGAAGGAAAGGGUUUAUUCUGCUUACAGUUCCACACCACAGUUUAUCAUCAAAGGAAGUCAGGGCAGGAACUCAAGCAGGGGAAGAACCUGGAGGGGGAGCUGAUGCAGAGGUCAUGGAGGGUGCUGCUUACUGGCUUGCUCCCCCUGGCUUGCUCAGCUUGCUCUUUUAUAGAACCCAGGACCACCAGCUCAGGAGUGGCACCAUCCACAAUGGGCUGAGCCCUCCCACAUCAAUCACCAGUGAAUAAAAUGCCCUCCAGGUUUUCCUAUAGCCAGAUCUUAUGGAGACAUUUUGUCGAUUGAGGCUCCCUCCUCUCUGGUGAGUCUAACUUGUGUCAAGUUGACAUAAAACUAGCCAGGACAACAGUCUUGCAAAUUUAGGAACAAAACAAGAAACUUGGAUUCCAGAUUUCCUUCCAAAGCACAUUUAUCACUUCAAACAGAAUUCACCACACUACCAUCAUGUGUGACAGGUGGCUUGCUUCUUCUUGAUCAAUGCUAUUACUCUGAGACUUCUAUAAGUCACAGAUGGCACCACAGGCCACUGUUAACAUAUGACCAGACUGCAGUUCAAGAACAUUCACCUCUAUGGGGGUUUGUGGAAGAAUGGUCUCCAUAGGCUCAUAGAUUUGAAUGCUGGUUACCAGGGAGUGGCACUACCAGAAGGUGUGUUCUUGUUGGAGUAAAUGUCAGUGGGGUGGGGUUUGAGGUUUCAAAUGCUUAAGUCAGGUCCAGUGUCACUCUUCCUGCUGCUGCCUGUUGAUCGAGAUGUAGAACUCUCAACUCCUUCUCAAUAUCAUGUUUGCCUGUUGCCAUGCCUCCCACCAAGAUGAUAAUGGACUAAACUUCUAAAACUGAAUGCUAGCCUCAAUUAAAUGUUUUCCUGUAUAAGAGUUGCUGUACUCAUGGUGUCUCUUCACAGCAAUACAACCCUAAGACAUCAAUCUUGAAACUUCUAUAUAUAGACUGAAACUAAACGACUUAAAGUUUUGUAAUGAUAUUCAAUGGUCAUUUUAUCAUCAUUUUACUAACUUGAGCUCACAAAAGUCAAAUCACCUGUUUCAGAAAACCAGACUUAGAACAAACAAACAAACAAACAAACAAAAAACUGUGUGAGGCCUAUAGAAAUAAAAGUCAAUACAAAGUAUCUUAGGAAAAUAAUGUUGUAUUAACACAAGAAAAGCAAUUAAUUUUUUUUUUAAGGCAAGAGCAUAAGUUUGAAGCUGGCUUAGUCUACAUGGCAAGGCCCUGAUCAAAAAACAAAAAACAACAACAAAAAAACACCC